rnacentral:rRNA from 1 species
UGGGGAAUAUUGCACAAUGGGCGAAAGCCUGAUGCAGCGACGCCGCGUGCGGGAUGAAGGCCUUCGGGUUGUAAACCGCUUUUGAUUGGGAGCAAGCGAGAGUGAGUGUACCUUUCGAAUAAGCACCGGCUAACUACGUGCCAGCAGCCGCGGUAAUACGUAGGGUGCAAGCGUUAUCCGGAAUUAUUGGGCGUAAAGAGCUCGUAGGCGGUUUGUCGCGUCUGGUGUGAAAGUCCAUCGCUUAACGGUGGAUCUGCGCCGGGUACGGGCAGGCUAGAGUGCGACAGGGGAGACUGGAAUUCCCGGUGUAACGGUGGAAUGUGUAGAUAUCGGGAAGAACACCAAUGGCGAAGGCAGGUCUCUGGGUCGUCACUGACGCUGAGGAGCGAAAGCGUGGGGAGCGAACAGGAUUAGAUACCCUGGUAGUCCACGCCGUAAACGGUGGAUGCUGGAUGUGGGGCCCAUUCCACGGG